rnacentral:lncRNA from 1 species
CCACCUGCUCUCUGGCUGCCGCCCCGCGGCCACACAGAGAUGAUGUUCCUUUCACCUGGCCGAAGCCGGGGUUAGGGUCGGGGUCUGGAUGACCAGCACCACUCACAAACGCAGGCAGCCCCUCUGGGUCCGUGGCUGCCGGGGUCUUAGCUGGUAUUUGGACUAGACCCAGAGCGAAGAGGUGACUGUCGCUUUAACAAACCCUCUGGAAUCUCAGCUGGGACCUGGAAGGUGCUGAAAGAGCCAACCCACGCGCCUGCGUAUAGGCUGGUUGAGAGGCCCACCUCUCCCUCAUUGGCGCUAGGCCUCAACUGAGUCAUUGCUUUGUCACCGCCUUUCCCAGCGUGAAGAGGAGCAGGCAGAGCGUGAUCAGAAAGGCCAGGCCAAUGAGAAAUCGAGGAGGGCAUCGGGGGCGCACGUGCUCAGAACUCUGAUUGGAGGAUGGAAGGCACCGGCCCGGGAAAGGACCAAUGAAAAGAAGUACAAUAAAGACACUUUCAUUGAACUCCUCAUUUAUGCCUAUUAUGCAAGGAUGAUGUUCAGCAAACUUUAUGACAGAGGGAAACAGCUGGUAAAGUGGGUUCAUGGAAAGGUGAAGAACUAGCCACAAGGAAUACAAGGGCUAAGCUGAAACCUGCUGCUCCACAUGUUGGAAAGGAAGAAGAAAAGUCAAACACUUAGAGAAAGCCUCCUCAAAUCAACAAAAAGGAGAGAAAAUAGAGAGAGGGGAAGAAACAGAAGAGCCUCUGUUUCAUAGUCUUCCAGGAAUAAGGAUAAAAAAAAAACAAACCUGACAUAGAACAUGCCUCCUGUCCUAUAAAAAUGAAAUGAAAGAAUGAGUUUAAGCCUUAUAUCUUCAAGGCCCAUUUGUUAGAUCC